rnacentral:rRNA from 1 species
UAGGGAAUCUUCGGCAAUGGGGCAACCCUGACCGAGCAACGCCGCGUGAGUGAAGAAGGUUUUCGGAUCGUAAAGCUCUGUUGUAAGAGAAGAACGUGUGUGAGAGUGGAAAGUUCACACAGUGACGGUAACUUACCAGAAAGGGACGGCUAACUACGUGCCCG